rnacentral:rRNA from 1 species
AUUGAACGCUGGCGGCAUGCUUUACACAUGCAAGUCGAACGGCAGCGCGGGCUUCGGCCUGGCGGCGAGUGGCGAACGGGUGAGUAAUGCAUCGGAACGUGCCCAGUAGUGGGGGAUAGCCCGGCGAAAGCCGGAUUAAUACCGCAUCCGACCUGAGGGUGAAAGCGGGGGACCGAAAGGCCUCGCGCUAUUGGAGCGGCCGAUGUCGGAUUAGCUAGUUGGUGGGGUAAAGGCUUACCAAGGCGACGAUCCGUAGCUGGUCUGAGAGGACGACCAGCCACACUGGGACUGAGACACGGCCCAGACUCCUACGGGAGGCAGCAGUGGGGAAUUUUGGACAAUGGGGGCAACCCUGAUCCAGCCAUGCCGCGGGCGGGAAGAAGGCCUUCGGGUUGUAAACCGCUUUUGUUCGGGAAGAAAUCCUCUGGGCUAAUACCCCGGGGGGAUGACGGUACCGGAAGAAUAAGCACCGGCUAACUACGUG